AAGGAAUAUUGGUCAAUGGACGCAAGUCUGAACCAGCCAUGCCGCGUGAAGGAUGAAGGUCCUCUGGAUUGUAGACUUCUUUUAUCUGGGACGAAAACGGGAUUUUUAUCUCAAUUGACGGUACCAGAGGAAUAAGCACCGGCUAACUCCGUGCCAGCAGCCGCGGUAAUACGGAGGGUGCGAGCGUUAUCCGGAUUUACUGGGUUUAAAGGGUGCGUAGGCGGGCUUAUAAGUCAGUGGUGAAAUCUCCGAGCUUAACUUGGAAACUGCCGUUGAUACUAUAGGUCUUGAAUUAUCCGGAGGCGAGCGGAAUAUGUCAUGUAGCGGUGAAAUGCUUAGAUAUGACAUAGAACACCAAUUGCGAAGGCAGCUUACUACAUAUAAAUUGACGCUGAGGCACGAAAGCGUGGGGAUCAAACA
rnacentral:rRNA from 1 species